GCCCGAAUGGCGGAAUUGGUAGACGCGCUCGACUCAAAAUCGAGUUCUGCAAAGAGUGUGGGUUCGAGUCCCACUUCGGGCACCA
rnacentral:tRNA from 1 species